rnacentral:misc_RNA from 1 species
CGCACAUUGCACCCCAAGGUACUCCUUAGGGUAUGCCUGUUCGAGCGCCGUUAUAUAUCUAAGGCAUUGCCUUGCGUUGAUGAUGUCCCGAGAGGGGCUCCUCGAAACAUAUCGGCGCCAUCUUCUUGCCUGGAUCGUAGCGAGUAUACGAGAAGGUCGAGGGGAUGGUCGCCAGUUUUCCGAAAACAUGGCCUCGGAUCAGGUAGGGAUACCCGCUGAACUUAA